rnacentral:rRNA from 1 species
UACGGGAGGCAGCAGUGGGGAAUAUUGCACAAUGGGCGCAAGCCUGAUGCAGCCAUGCCGCGUGUAUGAAGAAGGCCUUCGGGUUGUAAAGUACUUUCAGCGGGGAGGAAGGCGAUGAGGUUAAUAACCUUGUCGAUUGACGUUACCCGCAGAAGAAGCACCGGCUAACUCCGUGCCAGCAGCCGCGGU